rnacentral:rRNA from 1 species
AACGAACGCUGGCGGCAGGCCUAAUACAUGCAAGUCGAACGGUAAAUAUUUUAGCAAUAGAAUAUGAGAGUGACGUACGGGUGCGUAACACGUAUGCAACCUACCCUUUACAGGCGGAUAGCUCGGGGAAACUCGAAUUAACCCGCCAUAAGAUCAUAGAGUGGCAUCACUUAGUGAUUAAAUUCCAAGAGGUAAAGGAUGGGCAUGCGUCUGAUUAGUUAGUUGGUGCGGGUAACGGCCCACCAAGACGAUGAUCAGUAGGGGAACUGAGAGGUUGAUCCCCCACACUGGCACUGAGAUACGGGCCAGACUCCUACGGGAGGCAGCAGUAGGGAAUAUUGGUCAAUGGAUGGAAGUCUGAACCAGCCAUGCCGCGUGCAGGAAGAAGGCCUUCUGGGUUGUAAACUGCUUUUGCCAGGGGCUAAAAAGCUCAUGCGUGAGAAAUUGAAAGUACCUGGUGAAUAAGCCACGGCUAACUACGUGCCAGCCGCCGCAGUAACAC